rnacentral:rRNA from 1 species
UGGGGAAUAUUGCACAAUGGGCGCAAGCCUGAUGCAGCCAUGCCGCGUGUAUGAAGAAGGCCUUCGGGUUGUAAAGUACUUUCAGCGGGGAGGAAGGGAGUAAAGUUAAUACCUUUGCUCAUUGACGUUACCCGCAGAAGAAGCACCGGCUAACUCCGUGCCAGCAGCCGCGGUAAUACGGAGGGUGCAAGCGUUAAUCGGAAUUACUGGGCGUAAAGCGCACGCAGGCGGUUUGUUAAGUCAGAUGUGAAAUCCUCGGGCUCAACCUGGGAAAUGCAUCUGAUACUGGAAAGCUUGAGUCUCGUAGAGGGGGGUAGAAUUCCAGGUGUAGCGGUGAAAUGCGUAGAGAUCUGGAGGAAUACCGGUGGCGAAGGCGGCCCCCUGGACGAAGACUGACGCUCAGGUGCGAAAGCGUGGGGAGCAAAAAGG